GCCUUCGGGUUGUAAAGCUCUGUCAGGAGGGACGAAGCCACUCAGGUGAAUAGCCGAGAGGGUGACGGUACCUCCAGAGGAAGCCCCGGCUAACUACGUGCCAGCAGCCGCGGUAAUACGUAGGGGGCGAGCGUUGUCCGGAAUCAUUGGGCGUAAAGCGCGUGUAGGCGGCCAUCCAAGUCCGAUGUGAAAGCUCGGGGCUCAACCCCGAGUCUGCAUUGGAAACUGGAUGGCUUGAUUCCGGAAGAGGAGACUGGAAUUCCUGGU
rnacentral:rRNA from 1 species